UUAAAUAGAUAAAUAAAUAACAGAAGGGCCCAGGACUGAAAUGAAGCGCGCUGGAAGGACGAGGGACCGAUCGAGCAAUUUCCUCCUCUCCUCCGAAACGCACAGUUUCAGUAAGGGCCAAAUAGAGAGAGACAUAAAAUUUUGUGGCAAAAUUGAAAAGAUAAAAAAGUGAUAAGACCUGAUUACAAACAGCCUCAAAAGAAGAAGGACUAGAGGCAUAAAUAACCCCUUUUAUCCAGAAACACGCGGAUCCUAGGCUUACCGAUCGGGUCGGGUACGGGUCAUGCCAAAACGGCGCCGUUUUGGUGCCUGAGAAGGCUGUCUAAAACGACGUCGUUUUGGAAGCCUAUUUAAGUCUUUUUUUUUUUUUUAAAAUUUCAUUCUUCUUCGUUCUCUCAAAAAAAACAACCAAAUAUCCUCUCUUUUUUUUGUUCUCUCUGGCCAAAGCCCAGAAACCGGCGAGGGACCGCCGUAGCGCCGCCGCGCCGGUCACCGUCCACGGUAGCCGGAAAGUUCGGAAGGGACUGAUGGCGAGUGGGCAGCGACAGAGGAGCAGAGGAUGGGACGCAUGGGGAAAACAGCGGUGGUAGCUAGGCAUGGCAGGGGCGUACGGCGCUAGGAGGCUUAUGAGGGCUAGGGUUUGCUGAUUUUUUGUUUUGUUUGUUUUGGGCUGCUGGAAAUGGGUUUGGGUAAUUGGGCUUGUAAUUGGUUUGGGUCUGUUAUUUUGGGUAGUGGGCUGGUAUUUUCUGUUUUGUUUGUUUAGGCCCUGGCGAAAUUGGGCUUGUACAGUGACAAUGAUUGUAUGUAGAUGAGAUCGUGUGAAAUGUAAGCAUUUGUGAUGUUUGCUGUAGCGUCCUAUUAUUCAGGCUCGACGACUGAGCCAAGUAUAGGGAGUUACAGAAAUGCACACUUUUGAGCUAACAUACACAUUUCUUUUA